rnacentral:rRNA from 1 species
AGAAUCAACGCUGGCGGCGUGCCUAACACAUGCAAGUCGCACGAGAAAGGGGAGCAAUCCCUGAGUAAAGUGGCGCACGGGUGAGUAACACGUGAAUAAUCUACCUCUGAGUGGGGAAUAACUGAGAGAAAUCUUAGCUAAUACCGCAUAACACUUACGAGUCAAAGCAGCAAUGCGCUUGGAGAGGAGUUCGCGGCCGAUUAGUUAGUUGGCGGGGUAAUGGCCCACCAAGACGAUGAUCGGUA